AACUCAAGCUAAUACGCAUACGCCUAGGGAAGUGGGUUCUUCGACCUCACGCUAUCGGAUGAGCCUGCGUAGGAUUAGCUUGUUGGUGAGGUAAAGGCUCACCAAGGCGACGAUCCUUAGCUGGUCUGAGAGGAUGAUCAGCCCCACUGGAACUGAGACACGGUCCAGACUCCUACGGGAGGCAGCAGUGGGGAAUAUUGCGCAAUGGGGGAAACCCUGANGCAGCCAUGCCGCGUGUGUGAAGAAGGCCUUAGGGUUGUAAAGCACUUUCAAUUGGGAAGAAAAGCUUAACGUUAAUAGCGCUGAGCCCUGANAUUACCUUUAGAAGAA
rnacentral:rRNA from 1 species